UGCUGUGUGCUUCCUCUGCAG
rnacentral:miRNA from 1 species